UGUUGAAUCUUUUCUCGAUGACUAAGGGCCUGUUUGUUUUGGUGUAAGUGGAAUGAUGGAACUCAAGUUUCAUCACUUUCGUUAUUUAUUUUAGUGUAAGUGAAAAAUAUAAUGUAACUCAAGUUACGUUAGAGCUCCACUUCACCUACUCUCGACUUUUUCUUCUAAAAUGCUGAACUCGACUUUCAACACACUCAACUACGAGAAAGUCAGAGUUUCAAAAAAUCCACUCCCUAGCCAUGCACCUUCCGCCUUUGCUUUCAGUCUUUCCUUCCAGUACCAUAACACUCAGUUUCAGGCCACUAUACCGAAAGAAAGAAACUCCGGACACUAAUCCAAGAGGGAAAGCUAGCCUCACUAUACCGAUCAUGGUUUCUGCACCUAAACACAUCCCUUCCUUCUCAUUUGGCUUAGGGGAUGCCCAAAGCUAGCCUCACUCUCAUAUCUCUUUACCAAAGCAGCUUAAGCUAAAUCUCUCUCAUUUCACUUGUUGGAUAAACACGAAACUCGAUUAGCGUCAGGCAUUUUUUCUAAAAAAUUUAUUUAUUAAAUAGUAAAAUCUAAGCUCUACUUCUUUUAUAAUGAUUAGAAUUACCUUAUUUAUAAUAAAUUAAGAUUACCUUUAGUGCCCGUUUGGUUUGAGUUAUGUAAUAUUACAAAGUAUCUCGACAUAUCCAGAUAUCUUAAAUUUUGGCGUGAUAUUACUACUGAUGCUGCAUUAGAGCGUUUGGUUUAAUACAGUAAUGUAAUACUAGAUUACAGUAUUUAUAGCAUUAAUAUGUUUGGUUCAGUUUAUAAAAUUUAGUAAUCCUGACAUAAAAGUAUAGUUUUCUUCAAAAUUGCCCUUGUUGUGGUCAUUUGAAUAUUAUUUUUUGCGAAAAUGGCGAAUGGAGGGAAGGAGAUCGUGAUGAUUACGACGCAAUCGAAGAUGAUAGGUGUUCGUGCGAGAGAGAGAGAGAGAGAGAGAGAGAGAGAGACGUUGAGAGAAAGAGAGCGAGAGAAAGCGGCGUGCGAGAGAGAGGGCCGGGGGGAAGGCGAGAGAGAGAUGAAAAUAAUGUUGUUAAUUAGAUUUGGGAUUGUUGGAGGGUAAAUUGUCAUUUUACAUAAUAGGUAGUAUUAACGGAUUUCAGUAAUGCAAGAUACACGACCUCCCUCCCGUUAAUAUUUUCGAUAUAAUCCUGCUCGAUUUGUAAUGCUACAUUAACGAUUAGAUUACAUAGCGGAUUAACCAAACACAGUUAUUCUGGUAGGAUUGCCUGUAAUCCUGUCAGGAUAAUUCAAACCAAACGCACCCUUAAAUAAUAAUAAUAAAAAAAUUAAUUAUAUAAUAGGUUAAAUUUGCUAGUGGUAAAUUUACUACUAUAUUUAGGAGAUAAUGGGAUCCACUUAUUUACAUCAAAACAAAUAACGAAACUAAAAAAACUAAUUAAUUUUACCAGUACCAAGUUAUAUCAAAAGAAACAGAAAAAGUAAUUGAAUUUAACUUUCAGACUGUACGAGUUACGUGAAAACAAACAACAAAAAAAUAAUCACACUUCAGAAAAACUCAAGCACCACUACAUUUGACUUACGUUGGAUCUAUAGAUUCGUCAAUCCAAACGCCCCCAAGCGUUCAGUUUAAUUUUU
rnacentral:lncRNA from 1 species